CCGAUAAUGGACCUCAAUUUGCUUCGCAGGAGUUCAAGCACUUCGUGCAGGCAAUGGGGGCGCGGCACGUCCUCACGGCUCCCUACCACCCCAGCUCCAAUGGGCUGGCAGAGCGUUUCAUUCAGACCUUAAAGAAUGCGCUCCGCAAAGACGGCACAGGAGAAACACUGCAGUACGUGCAACCACCCCGAGGGGCACCUUCACCUGGCGUUGCCACCAGGAUCAGCUGCUACAGAGGCCUGCAGAGCACGUUACCCCUAGGCAUGGAACAGCUGGUGAAGUUACGACCAGCGAGUUCCUGGUUUUUCCCGAGACUGACGACGCACCAGUUCCUUCAAGUCCACAACCGUCCAGGGUAACUCCGGUUACGCGACAGGCAACUCCAGCACCCGCCGAGGCAGGACGCUGCCCCGUGCGAAAUCGUCGCCCACCAGAUAGAUUCCAAGCUGAACUC
rnacentral:misc_RNA from 1 species